rnacentral:rRNA from 1 species
GAUGAACGCUAGCGGGAGGCCUAACACAUGCAAGCCGAGCGGUAUUGUUUCUUCGGAAAUGAGAGAGCGGCGUACGGGUGCGGAACACGUGUGCAACCUGCCUUUAUCUGGGGGAUAGCCUUUCGAAAGGAAGAUUAAUACUCCAUAACAUAUUGAACGGCAUCGUUUAAUAUUGAAAGCUCCGGCGGAUAGAGAUGGGCACGCGCAAGAUUAGCUAGUUGGGGAGGUAACGGCUCACCAAGGCGAUGAUCUUUAGGGGGCCUGAGAGGGUGAUCCCCCACACUGGUACUGAGACACGGACCAGACUCCUACGGGAGGCAGCAGUGAGGAAUAUUGGUCAAUGGGUGCAAGCCUGAACCAGCCAUCCCGCGUGAAGGUCGACUGCCCUAUGGGUUGUAAACUUCUUUUGUAUAGGGAUAAACCUACCCUCGUGAGGGUAGCUGAAGGUACUAUACGAAUAAGCACCGGCUAACUCCGUGCCAGCCGCCGCGGUAA